rnacentral:misc_RNA from 1 species
AUGCGAUAAGUAGUGUGAAUUGCAGAAUUCAGUGAAUCAUCGAAUCUUUGAACGCACAUUGCGCCCCUCGGUAUUCCGUGGGGCAUGCCUGUUCGAGCGUCAUUUAACCCUUCAAGCUCAGCUUGGUGUUGGGUGCUUGUCCCGCCCCGCGCGGCGACUCACCUCAAAAGUCAUUGGCAGCCCGCAUCCGCCGGCCACGAGCGCAGCACAGUCGCGCUAGAGGCCUGGCAGGAUCGGCUCUCCAGAAGCACACUCCAUAUUGACCUCGGAUCAGGUAGGGAUACCCGCUGAACUUAA